rnacentral:rRNA from 1 species
UACGUAGGGUGCGAGCGUUAAUCGGAAUUACUGGGCGUAAAGCGUGCGCAGGCGGUUUUGUAAGCCAGAUGUGAAAUCCCCGGGCUUAACCUGGGAAUGGCAUUUGGGACUGCAAGGCUUGAGUGCGGCAGAGGAGACUGGAAUUCCUGGUGUAGCAGUGAAAAUGCGUAGGAUAUCAGGAGGAACACCGAUGGGCGAAGG